CACGUAGGGUGCGAGCGUUGUCCGGAAUUAUUGGGCGUAAAGAGCUCGUAGGCGGUGUGUCGCGUCGGCCGUGAAAACCUGCAGCUUAACUGUGGGCUUGCGGUCGAUACGGGCUAGCUAGAGUGUGGUAGGGGAGAUCGGAAUUCCUGGUGUAGCGGUGAAAUGCGCAGAUAUCAGGAGGAACACCGGUGGCGAAGGCGGAUCUCUGGGCCAUUACUGACGCUGAGGAGCGAAAGCGUGGGGAGCGAACAGG
rnacentral:rRNA from 1 species